rnacentral:rRNA from 1 species
GCUUACGGCCAUACCACCUGAACACCGCCCGAUCUCGUCGAUCUCGGAAGCUAAGCAGGUCGGCCGGUUAGUACUUGGAUGGGAAGACCGCCUGGGAAUACCAGUGCUGUAAGCU